rnacentral:rRNA from 1 species
AUUGAACGCUGGCGGCAGGCCUAACACAUGCAAGUCGAACGAGUGGCGGACGGGUGAGUCAUGUCUGGGAAACUGCCUGAUGGAGGGGGAUAACUCCUGGAACCGGUAGCUAAUCCCGCAUACCAUCAGAUGUUCCCAGAUGGGGUUGGCUGGUUGGUGGGGUAACGGCUCACCAAGGCGACGAUCCCUAGCUGGUCUGAGAGGAUGACCAGCAAAACUGGAACUGAGACACGGUCCAGACUCCUACGGGAGGCAGCAGUGGGGAAUAUUGCGCAAUGGGCGCAAGCCUGAUGCAGCCAUGCCGCGUGUAUGAAGAAGGCCUUCGGGUUGUAAAGUACUUUCAGCGGGGAGGCGUUACCCGCAGAAGAAGCACCGGCUAACUCCGUGCCAGCAGCCGCGGUAAUAC